rnacentral:rRNA from 1 species
GAUGAACGCUGGCGGCGUGCCUAAUACAUGCAGGUAGAACGCUGAAGGAGGAGCUUGCUCUUCUGGAUGAGUUGCGAACGGGUGAGUAACGCGUAGGUAACCUGCCUGGUAGCGGGGGAUAACUAUUGGAAACGAUAGCUAAUACCGCAUGACAACAGUUAUUGCAUGAUAACUGUUUAAAAGGGGCAACUGCUCCACUACCAGAUGGACCUGCGUUGUAUUAGCUAGUUGGUGAGGUAACGGCUCACCAAGGCGACGAUACAUAGCCGACCUGAGAGGGUGAUCGGCCACACUGGGACUGAGACACGGCCCAGACUCCUACGGGAGGCAGCAGUAGGGAAUCUUCGGCAAUGGACGGAAGUCUGACCGAGCAACGCCGCGUGAGUGAAGAAGGUUUUCGGAUCGUAAAGCUCUGUUGUAAGAGAAGAACGAGUGUGAGAGUGGAAAGUUCACACUGUGACGGUAUCUUACCAGAAAGGGACGGCUAACUACGUG